GGGGGGGGAUUCCUUCGGCCCCCGUGGAUGGAUGAGACGCCGCAGGGCUGAUCGUUUUGUCUCCAUUUUAUUGUUUGGACUCUUCUGCGGGUCGGGGGUUAUUAAGCGAGGUAUAAUUGCCCCCCUGGGGCAGAGAAGUCUCGGCUCGUGGGCUCUGUAUAGCGGUGCGGAGUAUGCAGGGAGAGCUGCCCUUAGACGUGACCCAAGAAUCCGACCCACACCCGGUCAGGGCUGGGGGGCCCGGGGCGGGGGGGGGUCACUGACGGCCGGUUUUAUUGGGUGGGUUUCUGUAUAUUUUGUGCGUUUUUAGAUUUUCUGCACGUGGACAGAAUAAAGCGUUUUACUGAGUU